UAGCGUUCUUGGGGCACUGCGUUGCCAUUUUCUGCACCGUCUGCUUUGCUUCAUACUGACGUGCAGUAAUUCAUAGUUGCUUUCAUAAAUAUCCAUAUUUUUCAUCACAGUGGAGUAAAUAUAUUAGGUUUGAAUAUUUUUGCUCACCAAAUUAUUUACUUCAUUUCUCAAUCAGGAAAUAGAAAGCAGGCUGAGCUGGCCUUCAUUUAUACACCCUCCUUCAACCCCAUUUUGCUUUAUUUCUUAGGGGCGACUUGGGUGAAAGAGAAACAGCCUAGUUCCUCCUCAUCUUUUGGGUAGCCAUGGUGGUCACAUACUGUAUCUGCCUAACGUGUUUCAUCCCUUCAAACACAGACUGAGAGGAAAGGUGGGCUUCAUAAUUUAAAUACCAUCGAUGGGAAGGUUCUCAUUUUGCCUAGCAAAUUGUAAGACGGGAGCUGAUCCUUGAGCAGUAUGUGCAUUUUGAGUUCUGUUUGGUUGCUAGGAGUGUCAGCUACAUCAGCCUAUGGGACUGCACCAUAGUGCACAGACCUCAAUCGUUCAGUGGCAGACUGAAUUAGCCUAGACGCUCCUUCCACCUCAUGUGAAAAGCCCAAACUGACAGGGGUCCAAAAUGAAAUGGAGACUCCAGACACUGAUCUGAUUUAAAAAAAAAAAAAGUUUGUCAGGAAAGCAGUAGCAAAAUUAUUUCUCAGUGACUGUCGUUUACUACCCAUUUGUACACUCAGGACAUCUGAAAAUCAAACUACCCAAGACCUCUUUGCUCAUGAAGGAAGUUAGAAAAAUUCCCCUUAAGCAUUGGAAUCGAGUCUUCACUCUUUUCCAGAAAACAUUUCUAGGAGAAAAUAGAAUUAAAAAGGACCCGUGGCAGGCUCUUGAAUAAGAGUGCCGUGUCGAAUUCUGUGCCGUACGCAAAACCUGAAGCUUAGAGGCCCAGUGUGCAGCUGCGGGGAGCGCCGAGCUCCGUGGGUGCUCCGCGUAGUGAGUUACCCUGGGUUUGCACUGCCUUGUCUGGAUCUACACCCUUAUCAUUACUGAACAGAUGUGGGGCUUUUCUUUCUCUACUGCUGAGCAUGGGAAUGUGUGCAAUUAUGAGAUGAACUUCUAAGUAGUAAGCCUGUGCCACAAAGUAGAUGUGACACAAAGGCACGGAGCCCAGGGAUAGUAAUCUUGCCUGAGCUGCUCACACGGGCUCUUAUUCCACGGCUUUGUCACAGGCUUCUCUCCUUCUGUGCCAUCACCUUUGAGAAAAAGAAAAAAUGAUUGCACCUUCUCCAGCUCUGCCUUUUUAACAGCCACAGUUGGGUUGGCAAGACUUUCCCAGCUCCGAAUAUAGCCAUUUGCCGACUCCGGCCUCUGCGAGACUGACUUCAAAUCUGUGGUCUUCUGUUCAGCGUACACAUCAGCAGAGCGAGAAGAUGGCUGCUAAAUAUAGGCUCUAUUAACUUUACUUUUAGAUGUACUGCCUUCAGAGAGUGCCUAUUCUGAGGAAUAUAAACCUUAUUCCUACAUAUGUAUACACACACGGUACCCGGACUCGCCCUGUUCAGCCUUCAAAAACACCAUCAGCCGGAGUAGGUGCUGAGAUAGGGAAGCAUGGCCGAAUCGGAGAGAGUGGCUCGUUUCCAAUCUCCCCUUCAGUGGCUACCAUGAAAUGGGCUAAAACAAGAGUCUCCAGCACUUCCUGCUGACACAGCCACUUUGCAUUUAUAUCCCAGAAUAGUGUCAGAUUGCUGAAGAACCUGUAUUUCAUGGAAAUAAUACAAUCACCAACAUUUCAUCAGGGGAGGAAAAGGCAAUUAAUUUGUGUCAUGUGUGUUUCUUAAACUAAGUAUUGCUAGGUUUUGAGUGUCAGCAGGUUUCUUUUAUCUUGUAGGCUAGCCUAGAGAAAACUAAAGUCUUGGCUAUAGGGAACGUAGACUCAGGGGGCCAAGGCAUCCCUGCCAGAUCCUUGAAGCAUUUUUACUCCAGCUCCUAAGAAUACCAGUCCAUGCUAUUUGAGGGCUUUUGUUCCUGGAGCGCUCUCUGACAGUGACAGAGGAACUCUAGGUAUUUUUGAGUAGGCAGCAGCAUAGCCUGGGAGGGUGAGUUGUUACCCAGUGGUGGUUCUAGGAGGUAAGCCAGGUAAAUGUGCUGAGGUACAUAGAAAUCCUGUAUGAUUGUACCAGGGUUGAAGGGAGGACAUGAUUCCAAAAAAGAUUGUUCUCAAUGUGUCGUCUGACUCAACCAGCUGGCAGAUUACACUUGCCAAGUCGCUUCCUUUCCUUCUAAGUCACUUGGCUCCAUUUUCCCUUGAAUAUGCCUCUGAGGAAAGUAAGAUGUGUCGUCCCAUCCACUUAGCCUUUCAGAAAGGACGUUAGUGAUGCCCUCUUGUUCACAAGCUACCGUGAAAUGCCACCUCUCCUACUCAGUUGUACCAAAUGCAAGUAGAGGGGACAAACUGUAGAAGACAUACUUAAUGCCAUUGGAGUGGUCUGCCACUCUGCUUUCCGUACAUGAGCGCAGGAACCCGAGAGAACUGAGGGGACAGCACUGGUGAGUGGCUUUAGGGCUAUAGCCAUUCUUCUUCGGUAACAUCAUGAUUGGAAUCAGGUUGAGUUUUUUCUCUUAGAGGUGAGCAAUACUUUGCCCCCUGUUUCUCCUCCUGCCGAUCCUUUGAUCUCUCUCUAAUUUCAAUACUACUCAUUUGCUACUCUUGACCUGAUCAGAUUGCAAUGCUAGAAAGGGAUUCUAAAAUCUCUGUGUGCUGUCCUCAAGUCUUGGGAAUACACGGGUUCUACUCCUUGGGAACCAACUGAGAUAGACACGAGGCAGCCUUGCUCUGAGUUUCAGUCUGGUGACUUGUGGCCAUGAGAGAUAGCUUGAUGUGAAAGCUAAGGCAUGUUUAAUGGGACAGGUCAAGGACAGAAGGAAAAGCUGUCAGGCUUUCUCUGUGCUAAGUGUAUGUACUGGGAGCAGACACCUCCUUCUAGCUGACCACGAUCACAGCCUCACAAGCAGCAGCUUUGAGACUCAGUAAUAUUUCCAACUUAGGCAAAGCUACAUAGAUGCAUAGAGAAUAUGCCAUUGUUCAUCUACGUGAUACUGAUAGAGCCGUGGUAUUUUCACAGUGUAAGCAAAUUGCAUAUAUUCGAUGCCUCAUAAACCAUCGCUGACAUGCCCACGGGAGCACACGUAAUCCCUUCUGAAAAUCAGGAGAAGCUGUGUUUUAAGAAAGUGAUUUGGGUAAUUUCUUUUGUAUUUACACAUUAUUCAAUCAUAUUAAAACAUGUUUUUAUUUACAUUCUAUCAGUUUUGAUUGUGUUUCCCCAGUGCUCAAUGAGAAUAAAUAUGAAAAUCACAUGCUUUUUUUCUGUAAAAGAACUACUUUAUAUUUAGAAAUCCAAUAAACUUCUCAUUCCACUUAA
rnacentral:lncRNA from 1 species